rnacentral:lncRNA from 1 species
CAGCUCACGAUCUCAGGAUGUACAGAAAUAUAAUAAUUGGAUUACUAUUGUCAGGUUAUAUUUCUACAUCAUCUGCCGAUGACAGCGGUGCUGAGGAAAAUGUCGUCACUCCUAAAUCAACAAGUAAUGCACUAACAGAAACAAGUUUGCUUACCACGACGUGGACCUUAGCAUCCACUACUGCUGCUAUAACGUCACAAGCUAGAGAAACACCCACCCCAGGAAGGAAAACAGGUUUGUCCACAUUUUACAAUAGUUGCUCUGGAGUUAUUGUCAUGAUGCA